ensembl:lncRNA
CACAAAUUGAGAUUUGACCAAUACUGAUAACAAAAAAGUCUCAAGGUAUAAACUCAUAGUGCUAUCAAACUUUUCAAGUAAAGGGUCAGUGGGUUUCUUGGUAGAUUUGCAUGAGGACAGUUUCUGAUGAAGAUGAAGAAAGAGUCAGGAGCCGAGGUGGGUUUGGCUGGACCUGGCAGUGGACUGGACGGAUAGGACACUCAUGUCGUGGAUGCUCAUCCCUGCAGCAGUGCCAGCAAACUGUAGCGUCAGUGUCAUUUGGUCCUGUCCUCAGCAAGCACAGCUUGCUGCUCAUCGUGCUGUUCACCAUCACAGGAAAGGACAUUUUCUCUGCUUGGUGCUGUCAGGUUGCACAUUGAAGCAACUAAUUGUAUGGAAUAGGCAUUGUGUAAGGUUAGAAGAAACCUGACUCUCUGAAAGGUUUCAGAGGGGAGGUUUUGGCACCAUAGAACCCAUGACUGGGAAAUGAUUGUAUUAGCUAGCUGUAUCUCCUCUAGAUACAAAUUGCAUCCAGCUGCCUGGCCAACAAAAGGGUGAAAAGAGGAGGAAUGCUGACCACACCUUUCCUCAAGCUGUUGAUUCCCUUUUCUUUUUUUCUUUUUCUUUUUUUUUUUCUUCUUUUUUAUUUUCUGCUGAGACAAGGCAGGAAACACAAUUUAAGUUGCCAGGGUGUUGAUACACACUGGCUGUGGUCUCCAGCUCAUUACUGUGGUCAGAGAAGUGCUUGCGGUGAGAUAUUUCACUCACUCCAGAGAAACUACAUACAUCAAAGGAUUGACCUUGAGAAGCUGCUUCUAAGGAGCUGGAGGAACAUGGGUAUGGUGUUGAUGGACUGAGUAUUGGAAAAGGACAAUUGCAAGGAGCAGCUUCAUCAACAUUUUACUCUGGGCAACAGAUCUGAUGGGAGGAGAGGAGAUCUCUUUCUUUCCUUCUCAUCCUUCCCACCACUCUAAAAAUCUAGAAGAGCAGUCAUCUGCAUUCUGCAUUCAUCUCAGUGUCGAGAGGAAAAAACAUUGCAACGAUUUUUCUGGAUUGGAAAAAACUCUUUCUCCCUACUUGGAUGGUAAAGCUGCUGUUACCAAGUGCCUAUGCUACUGCCAGCAAUAUGUCUCAGCCAGGGGCACAGGUUGCUCAGUUUUCAUCAAAGCAGCAGAGGGAAAUGGCUAUGUGGAGCAUGCUUUGCAGUUGCCUGCUGAAACCUCUGAGACUGGCUCUGAAUUUCCUGCUUUGAAACGUUUUGCUGCCAUAGUGCAACGGUUCAUGAAGCACAAUAACACUUCUCUUCUGGCCUCCAGGACACUCUCUCAUAUGGGCAGGAUGUGGCUCCCUGUGUUCCGUCUCCUCCUAGUUAUUUGUUUGUGUAAUGAAAUCUUCCACACUGACAUAGCAUUCUUGCAUGCUUUUAUAUAAGACAAACUACUUGUUUGAAAUAUCAUCAGUCCCUUGAAUUGCAAUGUAUAUGCUCUCCUUGUGUCUUUGUUGGUACUGCCUCUGCAAUACCAUAAAACAUUUAGAGAGGUGUUAUUCUGCUAAUGUGUACUGCAGUUGUGGCUGGAGCUGGGUUACAUUUUUCUGUAGUAAUUAACUGAGAAUUUUAGUUUGUACAUAGUGGUGGAUUAAACGGGAUGAUCAAAACGGGGGUCUCAUCUCAUAUGACCAAAUGCUUAGCAUUCAUGUUGGAGGUUGCUCCUCGUAGCAGAGUACUCUGAAUAGCUCAUGAAUCAAGCCUUGAAACUAGUUCGCAUUAGCAAACUGUCUGUAGGCCCUGCAGCAGCUCCAGAUCUGCUCCAAGAGCAGCCCAGCUACCCCUGAGGGCAGCACCCCUUCUAGAAAGGAUAAGGCAGAUGACAGAGCAUAAUGCAUGUUUCACGUGUCUGACUUCAAUACCCUACCAUGUGUGAGUAAGAACCCUUAGAUAUUUUACGGGGAGGAAAAAAAAAAAAAAGACAAUUAUUUAUGUACCAAAUAGCUACUAGAAGGGCUUUUGUUAUUCUGACUGAGUACAAUGUAUGUGAAAAGCAGAAAGAAUCAGCAUGAGAAAAAGAUACUAGAGACCAGCAUAGGUGAGCAGGAGAUGAAAGAAAGAAAAAGAUGAAGGCGGUAAAGGUGAGGCGGAAUGAGGCAGUAGCUACGAUGUCCUCUGCAAGUAUAUGUGAACCUGGUCUGUGUUCCAAAUCCUCUGGCUCGGUAGGACACUACUAAAGGUUGUUGUUUUUUUAACGCAGUCAAAAGUCUAUCAUUUGGAGAAGAGGUUGAUGCAUUUUGCCACCUCUGAACAAGCAUAAGCAGAAGUCAUCCUCUGUCAGUAGAAGUGAGCAAAAAUAACCUCUCAUGAGUGGUGGUUAAACGUCUUAGUC